UACGGAGGGCGCGAGCGUUGUCCGGAAUCACUGGGCGUCAAGGGCGCGUAGGCGGCCCUGGUAAGUCUGCGGUGAAAGCCCAGGGCUCAACCCCGGGUCGGCCGCGGGUACUGCCGGGCUGGAGUGCCGUAGGGGCAGGCGGAAUUCCGGGUGUAGCGGUGGAAUGCGUAGAGAUCCGGAAGAACACCGGUGGCGAAGGCGGCCUGCUGGGCGGCGACUGACGCUGAGGCGCGACAGCGUGGGGAGCAAACAGG
rnacentral:rRNA from 1 species